ensembl:snRNA U2 U2 spliceosomal RNA
GUCGCUUCUUGGCCUUUUGGCUAAGGUCAAUGUAGCACCUGUUCUCAUCAGUUAAAUCUGAUUUUUUUCUAUCGCUGUAUGGGGUGUAUUGAUGCAUGCAUUAAAGGAAAGAUGGUACUAAGAAGAUACUUAAAAUUGCAUUUCGAGUUUUUUAAAAAAGGAUAGCAUUUUUUUUAUAAUGUUUCAUUUCCAUGUGAUAAGAGUGCUGAUU